UACGGAGGGGGCAAGCGUUGUUCGGAAUUACUGGGCGUAAAGGGCUCGUAGGCGGCCAACUAAGUCGGAUGUGAAAUCCCCAGGCUCAACUUGGGAACUGCAUCCGAUACUGGAUGGCUUGAAUUCGGGAGAGGGAUGCAGAAUUCCAGGUGUAGCGGUGAAAUGCGUAGAUAUCUGGAGGAAUACCGGUGGCGAAGGCGGCAUCCUGGACCAUAACUGACGCUGAGGCGCGAAAGCUAGGGGAGCAAACGGG
rnacentral:rRNA from 1 species